rnacentral:rRNA from 1 species
GACCGACGGGAGCUUGCUCCCUUAGGUCAGCGGCGGACGGGUGAGUAACACGUGGGUAACCUGCCUGUAAGACUGGGAUAACUCCGGGAAACCGGGGCUAAUACCGGAUGCUUGAUUGAACCGCAUGGUUCAAUCAUAAAAGGUGGCUUUUAGCUACCACUUACAGAUGGACCCGCGGCGCAUUAGCUAGUUGGUGAGGUAACGGCUCACCAAGGCGACGAUGCGUAGCCGACCUGAGAGGGUGAUCGGCCACACUGGGACUGAGACACGGCCCAGACUCCUACGGGAGGCAGCAGUAGGGAAUCUUCCGCAAUGGACGAAAGUCUGACGGAGCAACGCCGCGUGAGUGAUGAAGGUUUUCGGAUCGUAAAACUCUGUUGUUAGGGAAGAACAAGUACCGUUCGAAUAGGGCGGCACCUUGACGGUACCUAACCAGAAAGCCACGGCUAACUACGUGCCAGCAGCCGCGGUAAUACGUAGGUGGCAAGCGUUGUCCGGAAUUAUUGGGCGUAAAGCGCGCGCAGGCGGUUUCUUAAGUCUGAUGUGAAAGCCCCCGGCUCAACCGGGGAGGGUCAUUGGAAACUGGGGAACUUGAGUGCAGAAGAGGAGAGUGGAAUUCCACGUGUAGCGGUGAAAUGCGUAGAGAUGUGGAGGAACACCAGUGGCGAAGGCGACUCUCUGGUCUGUAACUGACGCUGAGGCGCGA